rnacentral:rRNA from 1 species
UACGAAGGGGACUAGCGUUGUUCGGAAUCACUGGGCGUAAAGCGCACGUAGGCGGAUGUGUCAGUCAGGGGUGAAAUCCCGGGGCUCAACCUCGGAACUGCCUUUGAUACAGCACGUCUCGAGUCCGGAAGAGGUGGGUGGAAUUCCUAGUGUAGAGGUGAAAUUCGUAGAUAUUAGGAAGAACACCAGUGGCGAAGGCGGCCAACUGGGCCACUACUGACGCUGAGGUGCGAAAGCGUGGGGAGCAAACAGG